rnacentral:SRP_RNA from 1 species
UGUGCUAGAUGGGGAGCCAGCGGUGCCCUGUAACCUGCAAUCCGCUAUAGCAGGAUCGAAAAGCCUCUUGAGGUUGUACUUUUGAACUUAUUUGUGACUUUUAUAAUGUGUUGAACGUUAAGGUCUUGUGCAAUAUCAUUCUAUGAACCAUGUCAGGUGUGGAAACAAGCAGCAUUAAGUAGAUCUUGAUAUGUGCCAUAAGGUAGCCUUUCGGGAGCA